UUUCAACUUUUUUCCAUCAUUGAUUGCUUCAAUGUGAAAAUAGGAAUAAUAUUUAAAUCAAACAGAAGAAAUUGAUUAAAGAAUAUAACAAAACAAUGAAGCAAAAGUGCAAAACAAGACCCAAAUUUUGUGAUUGUCAGCUUGUCAUCAUCAAACAAAAGCUAAACUAAUAGCAAAAUAGAACACAGAUGGCGACAAGGAAUGAAAAUCCAGUAAAUUUGUACAGUUGGUCAUUGCUUCGUCUACGUCCAUGAAUCCCAAUUCAUCACUUCGUGUGCGUGAUAUUCUACCGCCAGUCAUGACCAUGAAUGAGUUUAGGAGCUAUUGAGAAUUCAAGCCUUUGAUGAUGAUUGAUAAUGAUUUGAUGAUGAAGAUGAUUGAUGACGAUUUGAUGAUGAUGAUUUAAAUUGGUGAGUUUGGGAGAUGAAAAGGAGAGGAAAUGGUGGUGGUUGUGAAUUAAUGAAUUUUUGGGAGAUGAAAAAGAGAUGAAAUGGUGGCGGGUGAAUUAUUCAUGAAAUGAGGGAUUGAAACGUGAUUCAUGGAAAAGGGUCUUUGUUUGGUGGUGGGGCCUUAGCCUAUGACUUGGGGUCAGCCUAAGCCUCCUAGGUCCUAGGCCUUGGCCCCGGUUGUUGGAACAAACGUGCAGCAAAAUGGUGCUCCACGUCAACCAAGUCAAAUUUUAUAGGUCUUAUAAUAAUAAUAAUAAUAAUCGUAUGAAUAGGGACUAGGGAUGGCAAAAUUUGGGUCUGGGUUCGGGUUUAACCUUUCUGGUUCCGCACCCGGAUGCUAUUUUCUUCUUUUGAAUCUUGGUUUUAAUCCGGAUUUUUUCAUCUGGGUCUGGGUCUGGGUUCAACCCGAAAAAAUUCGGGUUUUUGGAUUCCGGGUUUUGAACCCAGAUGGGCACCAUUUUUAGACUUGUUUCAGAAUGUAAAAACAGAGGUAAGACACUAGUGUUGAACUUUCAACUUUUUUCCAUCAUUGAUUGCUUCAAUGUGAAAAUAGGAAUAAUAUUUAAAUCAAACAGAAGAAAUUGAUUAAAGAAUAUAACAAAACAAUGAAGCAAAAGUGCAAAACAAGACCCAAAUUUUGUGAUUGUCAGCUUGUCAUCAUCAAACAAAAGCUAAACUAAUAGCAAAAUAGAACACAGAUGGCGACAAGGAAUGAAAAUCCAGUAAAUUUGUACAGUUGGUCAUUGCUUCGUCUACGUCCAUGAAUCCCAAUUCAUCACUUCGUGUGCGUGAUAUUCUACCGCCAGUCAUGACCAUGAAUGAGUUUAGGAGCUAUUGAGAAUUCAAGCCUUUGAUGAUGAUUGAUAAUGAUUUGAUGAUGAAGAUGAUUGAUGACGAUUUGAUGAUGAUGAUUUAAAUUGGUGAGUUGGGGAGAUGAAAAGGAGAGGAAAUGGUGGUGGAUGUGAAUUGAUGAAUUUGGGAGAUGAAAUGGUGGCGGUCAUGUUGAGUUAAAAGCCAAAAGUGCAAACUAGGGUUUUGUU
rnacentral:lncRNA from 1 species